rnacentral:rRNA from 1 species
GAUGAACGCUGGCGGCGUGCCAAAUACAUGCAAGUCGAGCGAACAGACGAGGAGCUUGCUCCUUUGACGUUAGCGGCGGACGGGUGAGUAACACGUGGAUAACCUACCUAUAAGACUGGGAUAACUUCGGGAAACCGGAGCUAAUACCGGAUAACAUGUUGAACCGCAUGGUUCAACAGUGAAAGACGGUCUUGCUGUCACUUAUAGAUGGAUCCGCGCCGCAUUAGCUAGUUGGUAAGGUAACGGCUUACCAAGGCAACGAUGCGUAGCCGACCUGAGAGGGUGAUCGGCCACACUGGAACUGAGACACGGUCCAGACUCCUACGGGAGGCAGCAGUAGGGAAUCUUCCGCAAUGGGCGAAAGCCUGACGGAGCAACGCCGCGUGAGUGAAGAAGGUCUUCGGAUCGUAAAACUCUGUUAUUAGGGAAGAACAAAUGUGUAAGUAACUAUGCACGUCUUGACGGUACCUAAUCAGAAAGCCACGGCUAACUACGUG